rnacentral:snRNA from 1 species
GGAUGUUAGAGCAAUCUGACAGUGACAUCUGUCACUCCAUUUAUGCCAGAUUUGAUUUGAGGGAUUUGGCUGGUGAAGUGUCCAGUGAUUCCCUCACUGUUCUAUAUUUGUCAUCCUGCCAUAAGGAUUGGCUACAUCUUUAGGAUGUCAACCAAGUCAAAGAGGGGAAUAC